rnacentral:rRNA from 1 species
GAUGAACGCUAGCGGCAGGCCUAACACAUGCAAGUCGAGGGAGGAGCUUUCGGGCUUCGACCGGCGUACGGGUGCGUAACGCGUAUACAAUCUGCCUUUCACAUAGGGAUAGCCCGAAGAAAUUUGGAUUAAUACCUAAUGGUAUAUAGGGAUGGCAUCAUUUUUAUAUUAAAGCUGAGGCGGUGAAAGAUGAGUAUGCGCUCUAUUAGCUAGUUGGAGAGGUAACGGCUCCCCAAGGCUACGAUAGAUAGGGGUUCUGAGAGGGAUAUCCCCCACACUGGUACUGAGAUACGGACCAGACUCCUACGGGAGGCAGCAGUGAGGAAUAUUGGACAAUGGUCGGAAGACUGAUCCAGCCAUGCCGCGUGCAGGAAGACGGCCUUAUGGGUUGUAAACUGCUUUUGCAGGGGAAGAAUAAGGAGUACGUGUACUUUGAUGACGGUACUCUGCGAAUAAGCAUCGGCUAACUCCGUGCCAGCAGCCGCGGUAAUACGGAGGAUGCGAGCGUUAUCCGGAAUCAUUGGGUUUAAAGGGUCCGUAGGCGGGCUAAUAAGUCAGAGGUGAAAGCGCUCAGCUCAACUGAGCAACUGCCUUUGAAACUGUUAGUCUUGAAUGGUUGUGAAGUAGUUGGAAUGUGUAGUGUAGCGGGUGAAAUGCUUAGAUAUUACACAGAACACCGAUAGCGAAGGCAUAUUACUAACAAUUAAUUGACGCUGAUGGACGAAAGCGUGGGGGAGCGAACAGG